rnacentral:rRNA from 1 species
GACGAACCGUGCGAACGUUGUUCGGAAUCACUGGGCUUAAAGGGCGCGUAGGCGGGCGGUCAAGUCUGUGGUGAAAUCCUUCGGCUCAACCGGAGAAUAGCUGGAGAUACUGGCCGUCUCGAGGGGGGUAGGGGCAUGUGGAACUUCCGGUGGAGCGGUGAAAUGCGUAGAUAUCGGAAGGAACGCCGGUGGCGAAAGCGACGUGCUGGACCCUUUCUGACGCUGAGGCGCGAAAGCCAGGGGAGCAAACGGGAUUAGAUACCCCGGUAGUCCUGGCCCUAAACGAUGGGUACUAGAUUGUGGGCUAACAUGGGUUCACAGUCGAAGCAAAAGUGUUAAGUACCCCGCCUGGGGAGUAUGGUCGCAAGGCUGAA